rnacentral:tRNA from 1 species
GGGAAAUUGGCAGAGUGGUUUAAUGCACUGGUCUUGAAAACCAGCGAACGGAAACGUUCCCGGGGUUCGAAUCCCCGGUUUCCCGCCA